rnacentral:rRNA from 1 species
AUGCCGAGUUGUGUGUUCUUGGUCUCCUGCUGCGGCGACAGGCGAGUUGUGCUUCUUGAUCACCGUGGUAAAGGAAUGCACAGAAGACCAGACAAGUACCUUCAUCUCUCAAGGAGAGUCGUUUCAGUUGAAUCAUAUGGGACGCUGAUAGUGUCCAUAGAAGCAUAUGGAAAAUCUCGUCGCUGUAUUGCUCGAGAAGGUCACAUCAACUUCCCUGUUCAGCAGUGCCAAACAAGAAGGAUUGAGUGUCAAGUUGGCGACUCCACGGUGGAGGUUGCUGUAGGCUGGUCGUUGCUUGUGAAGGAAAAAGCGUGCCUCUCGCUCGGCCGCACCAGUGUAAUGGGGAUUUUCAGGGAAGCCGAGGAGCUGGACAAGGAGUUGAUGAUUAUUAAGGAGAAGGAGAAGGAGAAGAAGAAGCAGGAGACGGUGGUGGAUUCCGGCGAGGAGGAGAUGGACAAGGAUUCGGCGCAGCACCAGUCCCUGAUGGAGGGCCAACUCAGGAAGGAGCAGGAGAGACUCAGGAAGGUUCUGUACCAACUCAAGAAGAAGAUGAGGAGCGAGUCCGACAAGGACCCGGCGAUGCAGAGGAUGCUCUUGAAUCAGCAGCAGAUACUCUGGACCAAGGAGCAAGCACUCUUGACGGUGAUGAGGCAGUCCGGGAUGGAGAUGGAUUCUGAUUCUGAUUCUGACUCUGGCUCUGGCUCCGGCUCCGGUUCCGGCCAUGAGAUGGACGAGAGGGAUUCCAGCAAGGAGCCGGUGAGGGAUGCCGGCAGCAAGGAGAUGGUGCAGAUGGCCAAUGACCUGGUUGGUGUUCUUUCCGGCCACCUUGGGAUGCUUAAGAGGGAGAUCUCGUUCCUGAGGACAGAGGUCAAGUCCCGGGGAUUGGCUGGAAACAGGGCUUGUCAAGAGCAGAUCAUGUCUAACCUAGGGCCCCUCGAUGAAAAUCUUCUCAAGAAGGUGAAUUUGCCUUACCUAGGUUCCAACACUGAGGAGGUGAUGGAUUUUCUGCUGGUCGAGACGCAGCAGUUGCUCUACCGCUUCAACUCUCUCGCAUCCAUUCUACAAAAAGUCAGAAUCCCCAUAUCUUCCGACAAGAUUGAUAAGCUGCGUCUCAUAUCCAAUGCACUUGUGGGCAUCUCGGAGCUUAUCAAGAGGCACAAAUCUGUUGCUGCUGACAAGCAAGAUGGUGAAGAUCGUUUGGACUGUGCCGGCUGGGAGGCUACAUGGGGAAGCUCGACAGGAAGACAUGGUUGCUUUGACGACAUAACAACAUUGAGUCCUAUGCAGUUUACGGCUUCCACGCCUGGAAGCUUCCCAUCAUCGUCCGUGGCUGGUCCUGCCUUGGAGAUCUACUCAAUCAAGCUCAUUAAUCUGAAUCCUAAUCUGAGUUGGCCCAUUGAUGUCUAUGGUGUGGUCGCUGCACGGGAUGAUUUUGACCACAACCGCAACAUUCUCUUCUGCCGGUCAAGUGCAGACUGCCAAAGAAUUAACCAAGAGGACCCUUUUUUGCACUUGAUUGGCCCGUCUCGUGCAAUUGUAGCUGAAGAACCUGUGAUGUUUCAAAUUGAACUGAAAUUGAAGUAUGGAGCAAAUUUCAAAGAUACAGCAUCGUUCACUUCCAACCAAAGUUAUCGCUCCAUCAUGCCAUAUGAUACCAUGCAGAUCUAUAACCGCUGUUGUACAGCAGAGAUAAGCCUCGGGCGAGUUGCUCCAGCAAUCCAGGCCACAAUUGUAGGUGUUUGUGUGACUAAAGGGGAGUGGCCUUUUAAGUAUGGAUGUAAAGUUUCUUGCUUCUUUUCUCCUGCUGAUGCAACGGAGGGAUGCGAGGCAGAAGUCGUUUUGCUUGACCGCCAUGCUAAAAGGAUGCGUGCGGGAUCAGAUGGGUAUCUUUCUUUGUCAAGAAAUGUCGUGUCAGUGGGAUUGCAGGGCACACUCCGAGUCGUCACAGAAGCAUACUCAGAGUCCGGACUCAAUAUUGUUCGAAAAUAUCACGCUGAAUUUCCUAUCCAGCAGAGUCAGAUAGAUAGUCGUGAGUGCUCAGUUGACGGCUCCACAUUGAAGAUAGUUGUUGCUUGGUCUCGCCUUGUCAUUGACAAGGAUGAUCUUGUACUCGAUGGUUAUUGA